rnacentral:rRNA from 1 species
AUUGAACGCUGGCGGCAUGCUUUACACAUGCAAGUCGAACGGUAACAGGCCGCAAGGUGCUGACGAGUGGCGAACGGGUGAGAAAUGCAUCGGAACGUGCCCAGUCGUGGGGGAUAACGCAGCGAAAGCUGCGCUAAUACCGCAUACGAUCUAUGGAUGAAAGCGGGGGACCGUAAGGCCUCGCGCGAUUGGAGCGGCCGAUGUCAGAUUAGGUAGUUGGGGGGGUAAAGGCUCACCAAGCCAACGACCUGUAGCUGGUCUGAGAGGACGACCAGCCACACUGGGACUGAGACACGGCCCAGACUCCUACGGGAGGCAGCAGUGGGGAAUUUUGGACAAUGGGCGAAAGCCUGAUCCAGCAAUGCCGCGUGCAGGAAGAAGGCCUUCGGGUUGUAAACUGCUUUUGUACGGAACGAAACGGCUCUGGUUAAUACCUGGGGCUAAUGACGGUACCGUAAGAAUAAGCACCGGCUAACUACGUGCCAGCCGCCGCCGUAACAC